rnacentral:rRNA from 1 species
CAAGCGUUAUCCGGAAUCAUUGGGCGUAAAGCGCCUGUAGGUUGUUUAAUAAGUCUGUUGUUAAAGACCAGGGCUCAACCCUAGAAAAGCAAUGGAAACUGUUAGACUAGAGUAUGGCAGGGGUAGAGGGAAUUUCUAGUGUAGCGGUGAAAUGCGUAGAUAUUAGAAAGAACACCGGUGGCGAAAGCGCUCUACUGGACCAUUACUGACACUCAGAGGCGAAAGCUAGGGUAGCAAAAGGGAUUAGAUACCCCUGUAGUCCUAGCCGUAAACGAUGGAUACUAGAUGUUGUAUGUUAUUUACAGUAUCGUAGCUAACGCGUUAAGUAUCCCGCCUGGGGAGUACGCUCGCAAGGGUGAAACUCAAAGGAAUUGACGGGGGCCCGCACAAGCGGUGGAGCAUGUGGUUUAAUUCGAUGCAACGCGAAGAACCUUACCAGGGCUUGACAUACUACAGAUUCUUUUGAGAGAGAGAAGUGCCUUCGGGAAUGUAGAUACAGGUGGUGCAUGGCUGUCGUCAGCUCGUGUCGUGAGAUGUUGGGUUAAGUCCCGCAACGAGCGCAACCCUUAUUUUUAGUUACCAAUUCGUUGGGUUCUCUAGAAAGACUGCCGGUGACAAACCGGAGGAAGGUGAGGAUGACGUCAAGUCAGCAUGCCCCUUAUGUCCUGGGCUACACACGUGCUACAAUGGCUAAGACAAAGAGUUGCGAGCUCGCGAGAGUAAGCUAAUCUCAUAAACUUAGCCUAAGUUCAGAUUGUAGGCUGCA